AAGUCGUAACAAGGUAACCGUAGGUGAACCUGCGGUUGGAUCAUUAUUGAAAUGUAUCUACUCUAGGUAGGCUCAUUGGAGUCUACCUAUCUACCUAAAUGUCAACUAUUAUGUCACGGUGGAUUUAUCGGAUGAUGUGUGGUGGUGCUAGUAGUGGUGGUAGUAAUACCUAGUACUGCUACUACUGGUAGUAAUACCUAGUACCCCACUUGAAACACCCGAUAAAACCCCCCCAUUAUAUAAACGUCUUCUCCAGUCAAUCCUCUUUUCUUUAAAAAAGAAAAAACAACUUUUGACAAUGGAUCUCUUGGCUCUC
rnacentral:misc_RNA from 1 species